GCAGAGCAGUGCCCGUGAGGAGCGAUCCUGAGGGGAGCGGCGCGGGUCCCGAUGUAAGCAAAUGAACCUCUGCCUUCCACGAGGAUGUAGUGCCUGUCCGUGUAACAGCAUCUUGAGGGAAUGGAGAGGAAGAGGAGAAGAGAAUGAGCAGUGGCCACACCAACUAUUGCUCCGUAUGACUGAGAACAGGGCCAGCAGAGUAAGACUCCCAGAUGUGGAACACUGUUGAGCACUGUGGGCCCAGGGUCCUGCCUAAGAUACAGAUCAGCCUGUUUUCUUCUUACCUUUGCAGCCUUCACAGGCCCCUUCUCCUAUUCGAAAGUUUGUGUGACAAUAAAAACGGGAGACCUGAAAGCCCACUACAGUCACACAAAGAACUGGUUAAAGGAAGUCAUAUCUACUCCAGCUGGAGCUUCUCUACAUAACUGACCUGCUUGGCUUCAUCUGCAUUUAGAUGCCACUUGGUCUGUUGCAGAUGUUGCCAUUUUCAGCCCAUCAAUUCCUCUGGGCAUUAUCAUCCACAAUUUACUCCACCUCCAGUUCCUCGGUAAGUUACGGGCAUCACCUGGUGCACAUUCACAUCCUCUGUACUGAUGCCCGAACCUGUUCCAGGUCUGGCUAGGUUUCCUUUCUACUUUCCUACUGUGAGCAA